rnacentral:lncRNA from 1 species
GGGAAGGUUCAGGUUAGAUAUUAGGAGAAACUUCUCAGAAAGAGUGGUGAGGCAUUGGAAUGGACUGCUCAGAGAGGUGGUGGAGUCACUGCUCAAGAAAUGUGGAGACGUGGCGCUGAGGGCCACGGGGCCUGCCUGGCGUUUUGGCUGUGCCUUCCGUGACAGCAGCACACCGUGCAGAGGAGACUUGAGAUGGGACAAGAAGCACGUGGACAGCCAGCUGGAACCUCUGUGAGCAGCAGGUACCUUCAUUUCCCAUCACUAUGUUCUCUCCUAGAGUUACCUUCUCC